rnacentral:lncRNA from 1 species
AGUGCCCAGCACCUUCCACUGGAACAAUGCCUGAGAGAGCCUCGGAGAUGGGACCCCCAGCAGGUCAGGAGGUAAAGAGGCCCAGGGCAGUGGUUGGGGGGCCAGCAGGUCUCCGCAGCCCAUGGGGAGGUCUCUUAGGGAGGGAACAGGCCAUCCCACUGGGCUGUCGGAGGGAGGGUCUACCCAAAGACAGAGGCACUCCUAACCCUUUCAGUCAGGGAGGGGCUUGCAGAUGACUCGGGGCCCUUCCAAGUGCUGCUGACACCAUCAAACAGGAACUGGGAUUAAAAAUAAACUCCUGGCAGGCAGUGGAGACCCACCCCACCCCCCGCCCAGCUGCCCUCUAUAUUUGAUGCGUCCCUCCUGCCUGAAGGUUAGCAGGGAUUUGGGAGACACUGGGAUUGGCUGAAGCUGGCAUGGGCCAAACCACUGCAGGAGGCCCAGGUCCCUGGGGACGUCCACCCCAACUUGCCCAGAGGGGUCACCAGCACCCAGGACCCUAGGCUGCCUGCAGACCAGCCCCCCACCAGGUCUGAGCUACACCCCUCCAUUCCUGGCUCACCCACUGCUGUCAGCCCAGUGGGAACCGAGUCACCCUGGGGCUAGCCUGUGCCAGGAGGCCGCGCUGCCCAGGGCGGUGGCCAGCUGCCCAGGGCGGUGGCCACUCCUGCUGGAAUGCAGCGUCCUCCCUCAAGGUCCAGUGUGCUGAGCCUGGGCCCCUGCAGUGGUUUCUCAGGUGGUUUCUCAGGUGGUUUCUCCAAAGUGCUUCUGUGUCCCCAGGAUGUGCCCCAACCACCCACAGCUAGGCUGCCUGCAGGGCCCUGGGAGCCCGGCCCUCAGCUGCCGGGAGACACUCGAGCUCACUUGGACAGUGAGAGGAGCAAAGCACUUCGUAACUACGGAUCAGCGAGGAGCGCUGAAGACCGAACACCACAGAAUCCUGGGUGCCAGGCCUUGUGAGUUCACCAAGUGCUGGGCGGGGCUGCCCAGCCCAGCACCCAUUGACCAAGAGGCCACUGGGCACAGACAGGCAAACCAGGCGCCCAAGGUCACAGCCAAGGAGGGCAGAGCUCGCCAUGCGCUUGGAAGGCCUGAGCCAGGCCAGCGUUACUUCUGGACAGAAGCCAACUGGGUCCCACCUGUGCUCCUCCCCUCCCCCUCCCCCUUGCCCUCCUUCUCCCAAAUCUGAGCCACUUGUCACCAUGGCCCCCAUAGCAACCAAGGGUACUGGGGGCGGUGGGGGCGGGGGGGGUGAGCAAAGAAGGGGCCCAGCAGCCUGGUGCAGCCUCACAGCUCACCUUCUGAAGAGCAAGGCAGGAGGAAGGGGUACAGGCCUGCCCCCUUAGUCCCCUCCCGUCGCCCCCAGGGGCCCCCGCCAUGAGCUGUUUGGGGAGACACAGGCAGCUCCCUCUUUGGCUGGCUGAGGUUUCACGAGCCUGGGGAAAGAAGAUCCAGCUAAAAUUAACUGUUAUCAAGCUGUCAGCCUGGAAAUAAACCCUGCUCCUAUUGGCUGCCGGUGAUG